CAACGUCUUAAUCCCGCAAGGGAAAUGUAGUCGGUUCACCUAUUGCACUGGUCUAAGUCAGAUGGAAUGCUGCGCGAUUCAGAGUAAAAGCCUCGUAUGACCAACCGCAAGCUUACGAUGGACCGGGGAGAGUCGGAUACUUUGAGAGUAGUGUCUUAAGGGGGUGGUAUGUCCCAUCCAAGGCUAAAUAACGUGAGGAGACCGAUAGAUUACAAGUAGUGUGAACGAAAGAUGAAAAGAACUCUAAAACAGAGGGUGAAAAGUUCCUGAACUUGCUUAGGGUUAAGGCUAUUUAUAGUACCCGUCUUGAAACACGGAUUAGGGAGUUUAUCUGUAGUGCGAGUCUUUGCACGUUAACUGUAAAGGCGUAGAGAAAGCAACUGGCGUUUGCAUGGCUACUGAGCAUUACUGAUAGGACCCGAAAGGUGGUGAACUUUGCCUGCACAGGUUGAAGUCAGGGGAAACUCUGAUGGAGGACCGUACGGGUUAUUGAUGUGCAAAUCAUUUUUCUGAUGUAGGUAAAGGUGCGAAAGACUCAUCGAACCACCUAAUAGCUGGUUUCCUCCGAAGUUUCCCUCAGGAUAGCUGUAAUGCAUUUAGUUAAGGGGAGUAGAGAUAUGGGUAGAGGUGCAGGGAGCCUUCGGGUUCUCAACUUAUUUCCAAACUUCGAACCUCCUUGUUAGGCAUUUACCUAACUGGAAAUGCUUAAAUGAAUUAGCGUUACAAGUGGGCUCUGACCGGUAAGCGGUCAUGGAGAAAUGGGAUGAACCAUACGUCUGAAUAAGGUGCCGAAAUGUACUAUCACUGAUACCAUAAAGGGAGUCC
rnacentral:ncRNA from 1 species